rnacentral:rRNA from 1 species
AAGUCGAGCGGUAACAUUUCGCUUGUGGAAGAUGACGAGGGGGACGGGUGAGUAAAGUAGGAAUCUGGCGAUAGAGGGGGAUAGCCGGAGAAAUCCGGAUUAUACCGCAUGUACUCUAAGGAGCAAAGAGGGAUCUUCGACCUUGCGCUAUCGGAUGAGCCUAUGUCGGAUUAGUUAGUUGGUGGGGUAAAGGCCUACCAAGGCGACGAUCCGUAGCUGGUCUGAGAGGAUGAUCAGCCCUCGGGACUGAACACGGCCCAACUCCUACGGGAGGCAGCAGGGGGAAUAUUGCACUGGGCGCAAGCCUGAUGCACUAUGCCGCGUGUGUGAAGAAGGCCUUAGGUUGUAAAGCACUUUCGGUAGGAGGAAAAGUAUAGUGUUAAUAGCGCUAUACCGUGACGUUAACUACAAAGAAGGACCGGCAAACUCCGUGCCAGCAGCCGCGGAAUACGGAGGGCCGAGCGUUAAUCGAAUUACCGGGCGUAAAGGGCGCGUAGGCGGUAUUUAAGUGAGAUGUGAAAUCCCCGGGCUUAACCCGGGAACAGAUUUCACUGGAUAACUUGAGAUGUUAGAGGGUGUGGAAUUUCCCGUGUAGCGGGGAAUGCG